rnacentral:rRNA from 1 species
UGAACGCUGGCGGCAGGCCUAACACAUGCAAGUCGAGCGGAUGACAGGAGCUUGCUCCUGAAUUCAGCGGCGGACGGGUGAGUAAUGCCUAGGAAUCUGCCUGGUAGUGGGGGACAACGUUUCGAAAGGAACGCUAAUACCGCAUACGUCCUACGGGAGAAAGCAGGGGACCUUCGGGCCUUGCGCUAUCAGAUGAGCCUAGGUCGGAUUAGCUAGUUGGUGAGGUAAUGGCUCACCAAGGCGACGAUCCGUAGCUGGUCUGAGAGGAUGAUCAGUCACACUGGAACUGAGACACGGUCCAGACUCCUACGGGAGGCAGCAGUGGGGAAUAUUGGACAAUGGGCGAAAGCCUGAUCCAGCCAUGCCGCGUGUGUGAAGAAGGUCUUCGGAUUGUAAAGCACUUUAAGUUGGGAGGAAGGGCAUUAACCUAAUACGUUAGUGUUUUGACGUUACCGACAGAAUAAGCACCGGCUAACUCUGU